rnacentral:lncRNA from 1 species
AUUUAACUGUUUUUUUAUUGUAUAUUACACAUCAAUAGCAACAUAAGUUCAAGAGGUUUUUUUCUUCUUUCCUUUUUUCUUACAGAACCUGAGAAAAUGGACAGCACUGUUGGGGGCUUGUGAGUUCCUGUCACAGUACUGAGCUUGAACAAUUUCGAUUAAAGCCCCAUGUUUGAGACUGUCAUUAGACCUGCAUUAAAUUACAUAUCUGGAGUGUUAAAAAAUAAAGAGUACAGUAGCUUUUUCUCAGCUACCUAAGGUGAGUGAAGCUGCAAGUUGAGGCCCUGUCCACAUAUAAAUACUGGAAGAGCUGAAAUCCAGGGAGACUGCUGAAAAAAAAAUUGACAACAACCACAAAAGACUUUAUUUUUUAUUGCACGAGGCCCACAUAUGACUUUGAAUAUUUUUUAGUCUGUUGUUUGGUGACGCCUAAGAAGAGUCCUGCUGCCAAUGUUCCUCACCUUGCCUCCCGUGGAAAGGGAAUGAUGUGCACAGACUCUUGUUAUGCAAAGGGAAAAAACAAGGGACAAUACGUUGCUGCUGAUGCAGGUGAUGAUGAUACAACCCAGCAGAAGAAGAUGAACUUCUUCCUGAAGAUGGAGCGACUACUCCUGGUCCGUGAUAAAGGAACCCCUGUUUGGGGCUGCCAUGUCUCUCCCAAACUUUUGUUAUCAGUGGAGCUUAGAACGUAGACCAUCUGUCACAGAGGUAAGUGUUUCUUGAAUUAAUAUCCAUAAUUCCAUUACUGGUCUCUCUGCUCACCUUAUUGCCCUUCUAUAGUCUAUUCUAUACAUAAUACCAAAACGAUCUUUUAAACCUGAAUUCAGAUCAUUUGACUAUGCCUAAUAAACUUUCUAGUGGUUUGUUAUCA